rnacentral:lncRNA from 1 species
AGAGUCAAGAAAACUUUUCUUUCGAGCUAUUUACAGCUUUUAAAAGUUAAAUGUACUCCUAUGAACAAAAUUUAGAGCAUAUUUCUUUCUCUCUACCUGAUUUCUCCAGAAUUUGGAAACUAGUUCAUUGGUUUGCAACGUCACCAUGCAUAUGUAGAAAUGCCUGUGGACGGCACCAUCAAUCCUACCCCAUAGAUUGGUAAGAACUGAAAGGUUGCUGGCUGAGUUGGACAUCUUUGGCAAAACAUAAACAAAAAGAGAGUAUCUUCUCUCUCUCCAAGAUUCCACUCCAAGUGCACACCAUCCACCCCACAUGAAAAAAAGAAUUUUGUCCUCUAUCUCCUUCACUCCUUCUGAUCUCUCUAUUUUACUAAGAGUGAUAUCAACUGAGCCAUCAGCUACCACAUCACCAUGGAGAGAGUAAUAUAAGCAGGUCUAUUGCAAGUUUGACUACGAAUUAAAGCAUGAAGUAACAAAAAGUAAAGUUGUGCUUUCUUUGUGUGUUUGUUGUUGUGUAGCAGACUAGAGAAUCUAUUUUCUCAAAUUACUUUAUGAAUAUCCAAUGUAGAAACUACAAAUACUAUGGGAACUAAAGGCAAU